AGAAAGUAAUGACUCACCGCUUAAUUUAGAACAUGAUACCCCAACUCAAGCAAUUAAAAAUAAUUUACGAGUGGAAAAUAGUUCUAAUAUAUCACCAUCUAUGAAACAUCAGGAACCAUUUAAAAAUGUUACGGAUUCACCUGUCAUUGCUAGUACCUCAGCAACGAACACGCCAAUAGAUUACACUAUUACACAACUGCAAGCCCAUGUAAUUCCACCAGAAUCAACUUACGAUGUAUCUAAUUCUUUACAUAAUUCACUGUCAACGUCACUUUUUUACCCCCAUUUAACGGAUACUUCUCCGUAUGUAACAGUCAGUUCAUGUUUAAACAAACACACACCAACAGUAAUCAACAACGUACCAAUAAAUUCUCGCUAUACCAUUACAACUACAGAACCAUCUGAAUCAGAACUGAAUAAGAGCUGUAUAUAUACAUUACCAGCUGUAAAUACCCAUGACUCUUGAGCAUACGAAACGAAAUCAUGGACGACUUUUGGUGAUGACUUACCAGCGAAUAAAGAAAAUUUUGACUCAGGUAAUAGUGUAUCUUUACCAACACGACAGUAUUAUGCCGGUUCUACAUCUGAAACUAUUACUCGGAUCCUUGGAAAAAAAAUGACUGUGAAAAAGUUUCUACAUCUUAUCGAAGCCGGCAAGCAAUGUUAACUGUGCCAUCUUGUCAUUAACAAAGUUCAGAUUCGAGUAAGAUUGCAAAAAAUAGUACAGUAGACGAAUCAGAUAGUUCAUCUUAUGAUGUAGAUGAAGAAAGUCUCCCAAUAACAACUGAAUUAGUCGCUACGAUUCCUCACGGAAAGCUUUCAGCACGAGAUGUCUGGAUUCAGAAACAAAUUUAUCUGUCGUUUAAAAGAUCUUAUUUGGAUCAAGAAAAAAAUAGAAACAUUGUUGAUAAUUCGUUUCAGAUUCCACCUAAAUUUCUGCAAGCCAGUGAAGAUCAAGUUGAAAUAGCACCAGGAAAAAAAUUUUACAUCAGUAAAAAUCUUAAAGCUUUGAUACAAUUCAAGUAUGAAGAAACAGGUUGCUGGAAAACUAUUGUUAAAGAAGUCAUGCUAGCUGUGUACGGAGACCAUAUGGGUAAUUUUUCUGCUACCGGAAGUAAAUGUGGUUCUCGCCCGAAAAUUAAUAAAACAUUGUUUGAUGGAUUAUUAGUGUGGAUUAAUCAGGGGAGGGCUCCAGAAGAUUUAAUCAAAAGAACUGCCCUCAUUGCCGAAAUUAACCAUAAAAUUUCGAACAAAAGAUGUUACAGGAAGAAAAGCCUGAGCAAAGAACAAGACGAUCCGCAAUAGUUUUGAGCAUUAUUUAAUUCUUAAGUCGAAAAAUUUUGUUUUUAAAUCUUUUUCAACUGUAAUUCAUAAAUUUUACACACUUUUUUGUUAUUAUGAGAAUUUUAAUUACAUCAAA